UACGUAGGGUGCAAGCGUUAAUCGGAAUUACUGGGCGUAAAGGGUGCGCAGGCGGUCUCGUAAGCUGGGUGUGAAAGCCCCGGGCUUAACCUGGGAAUGGCAUUCAGGACUGCGAGGCUUUGAGUGCGGCAGAGGGAGGUGGAAUUCCACGUGUAGCAGUGAAAUGCGUAGAGAUGUGGAGGAACACCGAUGGCGAAGGCAGCCUCCUGGGCCAGCACUGACGCUCAUGCACGAAAGCGUGGGGAGCAAACAGG
rnacentral:rRNA from 1 species